rnacentral:rRNA from 1 species
CUGGCUCAGGACGAACGCUGGCGGCGUGCCUAAUACAUGCAAGUCGAACGAACUCUGGUAUUGAUUGGUGCUUGCAUCAUGAUUUACAUUUGAGUGAGUGGCGAACUGGUGAGUAACACGUGGGAAACCUGCCCAGAAGCGGGGGAUAACACCUGGAAACAGAUGCUAAUACCGCAUAAYAACUUGGACCGCAUGGUCCGAGYUUGAAAGAUGGCUUCGGCUAUCACUUUUGGAUGGUCCCGCGGCGUAUUAGCUAGAUGGUGGGGUAACGGCUCACCAUGGCAAUGAUACGUAGCCGACCUGAGAGGGUAAUCGGCCACAUUGGGACUGAGACACGGCCCAAACUCCUACGGGAGGCAGCAGUAGGGAAUCUUCCACAAUGGACGAAAGUCUGAUGGAGCAACGCCGCGUGAGUGAAGAAGGGUUUCGGCUCGUAAAACUCUGUUGUUAAAGAAGAACAUAUCUGAGAGUAACUGUUCAGGUAUUGACGGUAUUUAACCAGAAAGCCACGGCUAACUACGUGCCAGCAGCCGCGGUAAUACGUAGGUGGCAAGCGUUGUCCGGAUUUAUUGGGCGUAAAGCGAGCGCAGGCGGUUUUUUAAGUCUGAUGUGAAAGCCUUCGGCUCAACCGAAGAAGUGCAUCGGAAACUGGGAAACUUGAGUGCAGAAGAGGACAGUGGAACUCCAUGUGUAGCGGUGAAAUGCGUAGAUAUAUGGAAGAACACCAGUGGCGAAGGCGGCUGUCUGGUCUGUAACUGACGCUGAGGCUCGAAAGUAUGGGUAGCAAACAGGAUUAGAUACCCUGGUAGUCCAUACCGUAAACGAUGAAUGCUAAGUGUUGGAGGGUUUCCGCCCUUCAGUGCUGCAGCUAACGCAUUAAGCAUUCCGCCUGGGGAGUACGGCCGCAAGGCUGAAACUCAAAGGAAUUGACGGGGGCCCGCACAAGCGGUGGAGCAUGUGGUUUAAUUCGAAGCUACGCGAAGAACCUUACCAGGUCUUGACAUACUAUGCAAAUCUAAGAGAUUAGACGUUCCCUUCGGGGACAUGGAUACAGGUGGUGCAUGGUUGUCGUCAGCUCGUGUCGUGAGAUGUUGGGUUAAGUCCCGCAACGAGCGCAACCCUUAUUAUCAGUUGCCAGCAUUAAGUUGGGCACUCUGGUGAGACUGCCGGUGACAAACCGGAGGAAGGUGGGGAUGACGUCAAAUCAUCAUGCCCCUUAUGACCUGGGCUACACACGUGCUACAAUGGAUGGUACAACGAGUUGCGAACUCGCGAGAGUAAGCUAAUCUCUUAAAGCCAUUCUCAGUUCGGAUUGUAGGCUGCAACUCGCCUACAUGAAGUCGGAAUCGCUAGUAAUCGCGGAUCAGCAUGCCGCGGUGAAUACGUUCCCGGGCCUUGUACACACCGCCCGUCACACCAUGAGAGUUUGUAACACCCAAAGUCGGUGGGGUAACCUUUUAGGAACCAGCCGCCUAAGGUGGGACAGAUGAUUAGGGUGAAGUCGU